UGCAGGGGAAGGGUCCAAGGUUCACCAACCGUUAGUGGCCAAACCGGUCGGUGUGACCAGACCAAGCGCAACCUUCAAAAACGCUCUUCUUGCCGUCUUCAGCAAGACAAACAGGGAAAGGCUCCUGUGACUGCCAAAACUUUGCCUGUCAUAAAAACAUCCUCCAUGUCACAGUGACAACCACGAGAACAGAACGGGAGGCAGCAAGGUCUAGAGGAUGAGAUGCAGAACCGGGAAUCAGACCUGUUUCCCAACAAGACCGAGAACUACUUUUAAUUGAGAUGUACAAAGGAGGUGCAGGAGGACAAUAAUUUGUGACUCAAAAAUAACACGCAAGUCAAGAGUUGUGAAUGGAAUUUAGGCAGUGCCUUCAAAUCCUGCAGCCUUCAAUCACUUUAUAAGGAUAGCACAGGCCACCACUGGCUUGGAUAUUGUCACAUUACUCAUCUCUCAUCUGCCUAAUCCACUUUACCACCUACAGUCCAAACAACCAGGAGAGAGAAGUCCGUGUGGACUUUCCCUCAUCAAAAGUGAACCAGGAAACAGUUUCAAAGCAGGUUGUCCAAGCAUACAAGGCUCAUGAAGAAAGGACCUGCUCCCUUUCCUUUGAACUUUGGCUGCUUUCCCUGCUCUCUGAGCAGAACACUGCAGGAAAGAGACAAAACCUGCCUGGCUGGAUCUACCGCUAGUAUGCGCUGGGCCAGCUCAGCUGGGUCCUCACUGCUCUUGGCAACGCAUGGACCUCCUUAUUCACCAGCAGACCACAUGGACAUCUUUACCUUGACUCCAAAUUUUAGUUCCAACUGCAACUCUUCUAAACCAUUCACAUUGAUUCAAGCCUCAAGCACAACUUCAUCACUUUAUUCUGAGCACAAGUCCCCUUUCUACACUCUUAAAAUGUAGGAUAUCUACUCUGAGCUUCCUUAUCUCACAUCUGUCCCCACUUUUCUCUUCCUUUUGCCACCAUCCUACCCACCUCCUACUCACCUCCAUGAGACUGUCAACAUAACAGCCUCUUACUUCUCACUCUCUCUCUCUUUAGACUCUCCUCCCUCCAAUCCAUCCUGAACACUGCCCGCCAGGUUAAUAUUAUUACCUCACCUCUUCGACCAUUUCACGAACAUACUCCAUCAUUUUCAUUGGGUUCUUAUUACCUAAACAGCUUCUUAGCCUAGUUCUCAAGCUCUCAACCAAACCCUAUCUUUCCAGAAUCGCAUCCCUCUCUUCCCCUCUAGAUAGGCAUGCUCUAGUCACCCCUUGGAUUUUCUUGCCUCUGCACCAUUGCUCAAGCCAUUUCUGCCACAUUGAAUGCUCUCUCCUCAUUGCUGGCUAUUUCAAUACUCCCCACAAUCUCAGGGCCAAAUGAUGUACCACUGACUACAUGAAAUCCUGCCUGAUUACAGCUCUAAGCUGUGCACACCUGGAGUUCUUUGUGGCAUUGUUGAUCCACAUGUAAGCAGAUAAUUACUGAGAAGCAUCCACAUGCCAGACACUAUGUUAACCACUGGGAUCACAGCAAUAACCAAGAAAGAGUCAGAGUAAGGUGGACAGUAAAUAGGUAGUAAGGAAUAUGACAGCGGUAAGCAAAGGGUGUUGUGGGAUCCACAUAUAUGAUCCCAUUGAGUCUUGGUGGGAGCCAAGAU
ensembl:lncRNA